AGCGAAAGGCUGGUUACAACAGGAGUCAGAUGGCGGACGGGUGUGCAGACAGCAUGCAUACAGUUGACCUCCUAGAGAAGAACUUGGAAAAAAUCAAGGACCACUUAGCCCUUCUAGACAUGCUCCAGAUGAAGGUGACAGAGGUUUGUGUGGGAUGUGAGGAGACCCGCCAGGACAUGAAGGCCGAGGAGGAGAGGCUGGCGGAGCUGGAAGCCCAGUUGAAGAUCCAGGAUUCCAUACCUGAAGACA